rnacentral:lncRNA from 1 species
UAAAAAUCUCAAGUGGAUGAAUUAGAAUCUUGAGAAAGUCUUUCAGUUGUCUAUCAUUAUAGACAAUCCCAUCCAUAUUAUCUAUUCUAUGGAAUUCGAACCUGAACUUUAUUUUAUAUUUCUAUUACGAUUCACUAUUUGAAUGUAAUGGGCUCCUCUUCUUAUUUUUCUUAUUUAUUCUUUAGUUAAAUUUCAGCAUAUUGAUUUAUGCCUAGCCUAUUCUUUUCUUUGCGUUUUUCUUUCUUUUUUAUACUUUUCA